rnacentral:rRNA from 1 species
CCUAAGGUAGCGAAAUUCCUUGUCGGGUAAGUUCCGACCUGCACGAAUGGCGUAACGAUGGCGGCGCUGUCUCCACCCGAGACUCAGUGAAAUUGAAAUCGCUGUGAAGAUGCAGUGUAUCCGCGGCUAGACGGAAAGACCCCGUGAACCUUUACUGUAGCUUUGCACUGGACUUUGAGCCUGCUUGUGUAGGAUAGGUGGGAGGCUUUGAAGCGUGGACGCCAGUUCGCGUGGAGCCAUCCUUGAAAUACCACCCUGGCAUGCUUGAGGUUCUAACUCUGGUCCGUGAUCCGGAUCGAGGACAGUGUAUGGUGGGCAGUUUGACUGGGGCGGUCUCCUCCUAAAGAGUAACGGAGGAGUACGAAGGUGCGCUCAGACCGGUCGGAAAUCGGUCGCAGAGUAUAAAGGCAAAAGCGCGCUUGACUGCGAGACAGACACGUCGAGCAGGUACGAAAGUAGGUCUUAGUGAUCCGGUGGUUCUGUAUGGAAGGGCCAUCGCUCAACGGAUAAAAGGUACUCCGGGGAUAACAGGCUGAUACCGCCCAAGAGUUCAUAUCGACGGCGGUGUUUGGCACCUCGAUGUCGGCUCAUCACAUCCUGGGGCUGAAGCCGGUCCCAAGGGUAUGGCUGUUCGCCAUUUAAAGUGGUACGCGAGCUGGGUUUAGAACGUCGUGAGACAGUUCGGUCCCUAUCUGCCGUGGACGUUUGAGAUUUGAGAGGGGCUGCUCCUAGUACGAGAGGACCGGAGUGGACGAACCUCUGGUGUUCCGGUUGUCACGCCAGUGGCAUUGCCGGGUAGCUAUGUUCGGAAAAGAUAACCGCUGAAAGCAUCUAAGCGGGAAACUUGCCUCAAGAUGAGAUCUCACUGGGAACUUGAUUCCCCUGAAGGGCCGUCGAAGACUACGACGUUGAUAGGCUGGGUGUGUAAGCGUUGUGAGGCGUUGAGCUAACCAGUACUAAUUGCCCGUGAGGCUUGACCAUAUAACACCCAAACA